GCGGACAUUGCCUUUGUAGGGGACAUUGGGAUCCUUGUGCUUUCUCUGCGAUGGCUUCCUGUCACUCUCAGGUGAGAAGGUCUCUCCUACCAUAUGCUCCUCAUGCCAUGAGGUACCACAGUUGUUUGUGCUAAAGGCCCAAAACAACAGGGUGGCAGCCAUGAGUAGAACCUUCUGAAAGUGCAAGUCAAAACAGAUCCUAUCCAGUAUUAAUUAACCUGAAUCUGUGGAGUGUUUUGUCAUAGCAGUGGAGAGGCGACUGAUACAAAGUUUUAUCAGGUGCCAGCAGUGGAGAUGUUGAGGAAAAACAGAACAUCGGUUGCAGAAAAAGGGCAACAGGAUUUAGCGAGGAGAGCAUCAAGCAAGACCCAGUCUCAGCAGCUGGGGCCCCAGGGCGGUGAUGCAUGAAGCAUUCAGGCCUCCGUGUUCUCGCUACACCUUCCAAAGUGUGGGCACUGAGCUAGACAAACGCUCACUUAAUGCUGUCAUUUUAGGGAAGUCUGUUGAUGUGGACAAAGGCCCACAUUUGAACUACAAACCAAUUUGCUCAUCUUGUCUGAAUCUUUUAGGGGCUGGAAGACGACGCCUGGUCCCCCUGUUUCCCCUGCUAGCUUAACUCUGAGUGAAACCUAGAAAAGAAAAGAAGCCUUUCAUUUGGGAACCAAAAGGGGUGACAAGGUGUUCGCAAGUUUUCAUUAUCAGAGAAAUUCCUUUCUAGUUCUGGGCACUGAACCCAAGGCAUAAGACUCUCCCUGCAAGCAUCUUAACAAGUUAGCCCAUCUUGCCAGUCCUGGUUUCUUAAUGGCUGAACAUGUGU
rnacentral:lncRNA from 1 species